AGGCGGUCUGUUAAUCUAAAACCGACCGGCUCUUUCUUCGUCCUCAACCGGUGAGAAAAGGAACAAUGGCUGAUUAACGGCUCCUCGCCCUUAGAAGCUUCCUAUUUCUUUUAAGAUCGAUUUUUUUCUUCUAUAAAUUAAAAUCUUCACGGUAAAAUUGACAUGCCGCAAACCCCCAAACCCUAAUCCUUACUGGAAAGAAUAAUUUCUCUGUAAAAGAAAAUAGUGGCUGAUCAAAGAGAGCAAUGGAGACUCAUAUCGGUCAAAACAUAUUUGACCGGCGCCCCAUAACCAAGUCCAGAACCCCCGCUGUUAAAUGGUUCAAAGAAUGGUAUAAAAUUUAAGUCAUAAAAACCGAAUUAGAAUUAAUAGAUAUGUAGCACGGGAUAAAUGACUAUGAGUCUGCCUAUACCAAAGGUAGAUAAGAGGUGGAUCAUUUUGAGGGCCUAUAGGCUUUGGUAUAGUGAUUUUCGAUUGCAAUACUCUCUCUCUGUCUCUCUUUUAAAUCUGCU
rnacentral:lncRNA from 1 species